AUGCAUUUACCAAUUAGGUAAAUUUCAAUUCCAUUAUGACUCUCCCGAGGUUUGUACCUGAGACCUUGUGUCAGGUGCAGCGAUACAAUCGCCAACCCAAAUAAAUCCAUUUAUCUCUUUUUAGGUUCUAAUAUCGUAUGUCUACGCUUAUCCAAGAGAUUUUGGAGAUAAACAAGGUAUUACUACAUGUCUUGAACAAUCAGCAACAUUUAUUAUCUUUUUUCUAUAUCCAUGUUUGUAAAUUUUCUUAGGUAUAUCUUUUAACUAUUAGUGAUAAACUUUGUUCACAUCGGCGAAUCAUUGUUUUCAGUUAAUCUUAAAAUAGGGUUUGAUUUAACACAAGAAGUAAAUGGGGAACCAGCUUUAAGAAUACGUGAUUUCGAAGGUAUUAAAAUUAUUUUGUGAGAGAUAAGCUUCUGAAUAGAAACAUAAACUUUUACAUUAGAUAUAAAAUGUAAUUAUAAAACUGAACAAAUACAUGUUGAUACUGAUUAUAAAUUAUCAAUAAUGGGUUAGGAUAACUUAUUUACCUUAUUUUUAGAUCCCGAUACUUAUGCAAGAGCAAUUUCAAGUUCAGAGAAACGCAAACCGGGUCCUGCUAUAAGAGCAGAUUCUUUUAGCGCCAGUGACGAGGACGUAAAGGAAGUUGAAGUGAAAGAAGAGAAAAAAGAAAAGAAAGAAAAAAAAUCCAAGCGAGAACGUGAACAUGUUAAAACUAGUAAGGAAGGAUCGAAAUCGAAUGGCUCGGAUUCUGAUGAUUCAGAUGAAAGGAAAAUUAGAAGCACCCUAGGAAUGAGGGGUGAAGAAUUCGAUGCAGAAGGCAGAUAAAUUGGCGUUACCUGCCAGAAGUAUGGAGCCAGGCCGAUACAAAGAAUGUUGUAGUCGGUCGUUUUACUUAUUGGAAUAAAAAAUAGAAAUAUAUCGUGUUUUUUUUCAUGUUUAUG